UCAUUUAUCAGGCUCAAGCUCAGGAGGUUUGCGCUCUCUAAUAUUUUAUACAUGGAAAAAAAGUUACGAAAAUAUAAUAUUUAAUCUCCUACGCGUUUCUUGUUUUGCAAGUUGAAUCCAUUGUGCUGAAAAAAUAUGGAAGGGAGGCUUAUAGGAUAUUUAGGUUGCUCUCUGAACGUGAACGACGUAUUGAGACAGAUAAGAGAGUUGAAAACGAAGCUCAGAAAAUGGAGAUUAUGUUGUGGGAGUUGAAUAAAUGUUCCGUUUGGGAACAAGUUUUAGAUGACAUGUAUCAUGCCGCCCUCAACUUAAAACUUCGCCUUCUACAUGAGCUUGUCAUGCACAAGAUUUACUUCGGGUGCUUAAAGGGAAAAGCUUUAAGGAAGGAGACGAAGCCACGAAUAAACACAGAAAAUACAGUACACCACAAAUGGAAGGUUCUAGAAUCUUAUUUUAUGAUUCUUGAUGAUGCCAUCAUGCUAUUUCAUGACUUUUAAGUUUUAAGAAUGAUGAUAGAUAGUAACCCUGCUUUGUUUUUCAUAAUUCAUUAGUUAUAUAUUUAUUUAUAUCUAAACAUGUGGUAUAUUCAAUUGGAUGAACUUCUCUAUUUCUACAUGUGUUUUCAUUAUCCAAGGA